GAUGUAACGCUGGCGGCGUGCUUAACACAUGCAAGUCGAACGGAAAGGCCUCCUGCUUGCAGGGGUGCUCGAGUGGCGAACGGGUGAGUAACACGUGGGUGAUCUGCCCCGCACUUCGGGAUAAGCCUGGGAAACCGGGUCUAAUACCGGAUAGGACCAUUAUUCGUUUAGUGGUGGAAAGUUUUUUCGGUGUGGGAUGAGCCUGCGGCCUAUCAGCUUGUUGGUGGGGUAAUGGCCUACCAAGGCGUCGACGGGUAUCCGGCCUGAGAGGGUGUACGGACACAUUGGGACUGAGAUACGGCCCAG
rnacentral:rRNA from 1 species